UGAGUCUGUGUGUGAGUCUCCGUGUGUUUGACUCCCCCUGUGCUUGCAGAACUGUAACAGCCGCAUCGACGACAUCUUCUCCCAGAGGGUCUACAUCAUCGCCGCUGUCGGCAUCGGCUUCGGCAUCAUGAUGGUCGCCGGCCUCGUGAUCAGCGCCAUGCUGUGCGGGGCCAUUCGGCAAGAAGCAAACUCCGACUAGCAAGUCACGUGGGCACCGUGACGCAACCCCAGGCGGAGUGGAAGGGAGGUGACGGUGACCAUGGGAUGAAGAACGCCUCGAGCACACACACAGCGUGUACACACACACACAGUGUACACACAGUGUACACAGUGUGUGUGUGUGUACACACAC